GCGAUGAAGCGAGAGGUUGCCGCAGAAAUGCGGGUAAUUUUCGUGGAGUAUGUCCGAAAAUCGGGCGA
rnacentral:ncRNA from 1 species